CCCGGUGCGGGGCCGCGGGGUUCCGCUCCGCUUCCCGUUCCCCCGGCCAUGGCGAGCUACACCAAGGCGGCUCAGCAAUGGGCUACUUUUGCCAGAGCGUGGUACCUCCUCGAUGCGAAGAUGCAACCACCGGGAAAAAUAGCAGCCAUAACCAUAAGAAGGCUGGAAGGCAGGCAUAAGCCUAUUUACCACGCGCUCAAUGACUGCGGAGAUCAUGUUGUCAUAAUAAAUACAAGACAUAUUGCCUUUUCUGGUAACAAGUGGGAACAGAAAGUAUACUCCUCACAUACUGGUUAUCCUGGUGGUUUCAAACAGGUGACAGCAACUCAGCUCCAUUUGAAAGAUCCAACUGCUAUUGUCAAGCUGACUAUUUAUAGGAUGCUUCCCAAAAACCUUCUGAGAAGAACUUUGAUGCAGAGGUUGCACCUGUUCCCUGAAGAUGUUAUCCCAGAAGAUAUAGAGAAGAACCUUCUACAAGAGAUUCCUCAGCCACGCGUAGUCCCCAGGAGGUUAGAUGAGUACACACCAGAAGAAAUUGCUGCCUUUCCAAGGGUUUGGACUCCGCCUAAAGAUUUUCGAAUGAAGUAAUAGAAAGAAAAAUUGCUAUCAGGAAUGCCCGUCCUCCUUGGAAAAGAAUUCUUUCAUGGCAGAAGAACUCAUCUGUGCAUCUGGGUUAUCCCUUGAAUGCAGAAAGCUUCUGGCAGCGGUUGGUGAGGAAAGUCUGUGUUUCCAACACCCAUUUUGUUGAAGCAGUGUAGAGGAAGCAAAACAAUGCUUUAGGUAUGAUCUGAUUUUAUAUGCAUUUCUUCAGCCUUUUGCUCAGGUUUAUCCCAUUCCUGCCCAUAGAACAUGCAAGGCUACACUUCCACAACAGUAAUGAAACUUAAUUCAAUCCUGAAAGCAUUCUUCAAAGGUUAAAAAAAACACGUUUUGUGCAAGAAUGCAGUACGUAAUUUGUAGGUAAGAUUUGGGUGACGUCAGCCAUACAUUCAUGUGCUGCAAACUUCACGGUCAGCAACUUACGUUUCUUAGGCUGUCUGGAAAAAUGCAAGACACUCCUGAUGGUACAGUGACUGAAUUCUGGAGAAAAUACUGAGCAGCUGUGUCUGUGUCUCACUCUCUUUUGGCAAAUGCAUAAAGCCUGAGUAUUACUUUUAUAUGUCAUAGUAGCCACCAAAAAGUUAGUUUUGCAUCUGCAACAAGUUGACAUGGAGCCAGUGCUAAAUGAAGCACUCUGGUUAGCAGCUAAUGCUGUCGUUAAAAACAUAAAGCACAUAAAGCAAAACAUAAAACACAAUUAAAGCUUGUCCUUCAGGAUAUAAAUUAGAAAAUUGUAGUGGGAAUGCCUACCCAAGAAAUACUCUCACUUUGCUUAAUCCACUGCACGUAGUCUCCCAUACGCAGUGAUGACGAGGAUGAUUGCGUGUGCACUGUGGGGCUCCUGUCCUGCAAUUUGGGGGGGCUUGGAGACAGGAUGGCUGCUGGGGAAGCACAGGGAAGAUGACGCCUUGCAGCACUGUAAAGUGGGGUUAAUCUGGUUAAAGGUAAAAGUCAGUAAGUUAUCUACCUUAUACUUUAAAUACAGGUCUGUAUUGGGAACUCACAUCUAUGGCAAUCUUAAUCACCCUUCUACAAGAAAAGUGGUGAGAUUUAGGGCUGGGAAAAUCAGUGGGAAAACAGAAACAGCAUAGAAAGGAAUACAGCCACGUAGCAGGAAAUUGCCCUGGGAUAUACACAGCCAUGGGUAUUAGUUGCAUGUGUAAAUUGUUUGUGUUAUUAAUGAGGCUGACUUCUGGGCCAGAGAACUUGAGAUUAAUACAGUAAAGGUAUGCAGCUGUCUCAUCACCAGUUUCUCUUCUUUGUCACGAGCUAAGAGAGCUUCUGGCAGUGGCCAGAAGCAAAAGCUGACACAUCUCCCUCCUGCGAUUGAAGAGGCUGAACUUUGUCAGGGGCAAGCAGGAACCUGGUCCUGGAACCCACAGGUCAGCCUGUCUAGGGCUCUGUAGGGCUGGAUUAACAGUACUUAAAAUCCAUGACUUCAUUUUAAGUGUAUGCACAUUUUUGACCUUCUGCUUUAAAACUUCCUUUGUUUCUUAGUCUCAGUAAUGUUCAAAGCUGUUUAUUGAAUCACUUUAGAAGUUGUCUGCUUUGUUUUAACCUCUUUAAUUGCUUUGUUAUUCUCAAGUGGUUGGGUUGUUGUUUUUUCUUUUCUUUCUCUCAUUUUUAGGUGAUCCAAGUGGCUUUUGCAACCAUUUCUUCCAGGCUUUUGACUUUGGCACGUUAAUAUCCAAAAUCUCACAUCCACAGAAGGGACAGCUUCCUUAUCUCAUUUUUCAUCUCCCCACUUCUUCAUACAUUGUAUAAAUAAGGCUAAAUAUUCUUUCAGCUGAGUGCCUGUAACCUUUACAAUAAAACCAUUGUACAAAAGUGCUGGAAAAGGAAAAUAUGUUUUCUUCUCUUUACAUUCUGUCCCCUGAAGAUCUACACUACUGUUUCAAGCUCAAAUCAGUCAAAUAAAUCCAGA